rnacentral:lncRNA from 1 species
GAGCCGAAAAACUUCAUCUUUUUGCAUAAGUUAUAGGUUCCAUUUUUGCAAAGAUUACAAGUCUGGCAACUGAUUCCGGGCUCCAAUGCUACUCGAUCACCAAUUGCUAGAGACUUCACAUUGGACCCUAUAUCUUUGAUGAUACCAGCACACUCAUGUCCGAUUACCAUUGGCUUUUUAACUAUGAAAUUUGCAACCCGCAUGUUCUAGUUGCAGUGUCAUAAUCAGCCAACUAAAUACAUCAAAUCUGACCUUUGAACAAGAUUUUAUUCUCAUUUAAGUUUAGGAGUGUCCAAUGAACCGAAUAACGAAUUUUCGAAUUAACUGUGUCAGUUUCGAAUUUUUAUUUCUUUUACCUAAAUUCGUAUUCAAUUCGAAUCCAAUUUAAGUUUGAUUUAUUUGAUUCGAAUUCGUAUUCGAAUUAUAUGCCCAAUUCGAAUUCAAAUAAAUUCGAUUAAAUAAAAUUCACCCUAUAUAAUAAAUUAAUUUACUUUUAUUUUUAAAACUACAACAGACUAAUUAUAAGGGCUUUUGAAGUUUGGCUCAAAUUUAGAAGGUUUUUUCCAUGUGUGUGCAUAUAUUAAUAUUGGGGAAGGUAACACUAAAUAUUGCGAGAACACGCAGAACAAAAUGGAACACUCAUUUUUUCAAUUCUAUAAUUUAAAAGUAAAUGAAAAUGUUAUAAAUAUAAGAUUUACUAUUUCUCACACUAUAAUUUAAAACAAAAUAUGAAAAAUCUUCAGUUUUUAAAUAACCUACAUACAUGUUAACUUAUGUGUAGGCUAAAUUACCUAUAUGUAUGUGGCCUAUGUGUAGGGAGAAAUAUGAUUUUUUAUUUAUAUAAUAUACAUAUGAAUGAAAGAAAGAAACAUAAAAUUUAAGAAAUAUGAACCUUAAAUCCCCAAAUUUAGUGAUUUAGAGUUGUUUUUUUUUUCUCGCAAUAAUUAGUGUUCUGUAAUGAUUCUUAUCCUUUUAAUAUCAAUGGAUAUAUAAAUUAUAUACAUAUACACAUAUAUAUAUGCGUGUGUGUAAAUUUAAUUCGAAUUUCGAAUCGAAUUGAGAAUAAAAAAUUCAUUUUCACUUUUGACUCGAAUUCAAAUUGAAGCGAAUUCGAAUAUUUAAAAAUCGAAUUCAACGCUUGAUAAUUUAAUUCAAACUAAAUCGAAUUUCCAAUUCGAAUCGAAUAUUAAACACCCCUACUUAAGUUCAUAAACUUUACCCUAUGGAAGAAGAACAAAAUAUGUCUUGAAUUUUACCUUGAAGUGAUGAACAUCACUACCACAAAUUCCUAGAGCUUUGAUCUGAACUUUAACAUCAUUAGGCCCUAAAUUGUAAAAAAAAAAAAAAAAAUUAAAAUAAUAAUUAAAAAAAACACAAGAAUAAGAACCUUAACUGAUAAAAAAAAUAGUGAAUUUUGUAUAAAAUUUAGGAAAGCAGGGACCUAGAGGAGGAAGAUGGUAAGGUUGAAUUUGGAGGUUCUUGAUUCCAAGAAGCCAAGCUGCCAUGUUCAUCAUCUCUUCCACUUGCUUUGUGUACUUGUUUCUAUAGCCUUGUUGGUCUGGAUUUGGUGA